AUGCAACCCUCAUCAAACAAUCUUUAGUAGUCCAGUUGGCGCAGUAGAUAGAAAACCAGACAUAAGUUCUAUGAACAUGGCCUGCAAAACCGUGGUCUGAAUUCAACCUACAAUUCUUAUCGGACUCGAUGGCCAUCUACAACCACAAAGCAGCCACCAAGUGCACCAUUGGGGUCCACACCCUAUUCUGGGCAGAUUGGUGGCUUCGGGAGGGGCGCGUCCAGGAUAUCAUGCCAAGCUUGUUUGGUGUAGUGAAGCAGACCACGGUCAAGCCCAAGACGGUGAGCUGCCAAGCUAUAUCAAGAGAGAGGUGGCAUGACGUAUCGCCGAAUAUGUCGGCUCAGGCAAUACAUGCAUGAGUUCUCAGAUUGGUCGGUCGAGUUUGGAACGUGUAACUAGUGGAUGGAGUUAAAGAAAGGAAAUUUGGAAGUCAAAGGCACCGGCAACAUGCAAGGCAUUCUCUUGGCUCGUGGGAAAGAAACAAUGUUGGACGGCCUACAAAUAGCAACGACGGCUUUUUGCGCUGCAGAUACAAUCACAAGCCACAUAGGUCUUUCGUAGCAGAUCAACAUAAUUACAAAUUAAGUAUCUAUGCAUUGGAGGCUUUAGUUACUUAGUCCUUUAAUAUACUUAGCAUCUUAUCUUAGCACUGAUGCAUUAAAAGUAACCUUAGAUGAACCGGAGCCAAAGCCAUGAAGGCGGAAUUUAUGCAAUGCAGUCAAUGCUCACUUAAAAUAACAGAACAAUUUUUUUAAUAGUCUAGUUGACGCAAUACCCCGCAAAAAAACCCAAAGCAAUUCAUAUAGAGAUAAAAUGUGCCCGGAUCCAUUUCUAACAGAAGUCGUAACCGUCCUUUUCUACCAUGAAACGUAUAAGUAAAAUACAUGCACAUUCAUAACAUAAGGUCCCUUUGUCUAGCACACUAACACUAUAAAUAGUGUGGGGCAGUAGGUGGCCAAUUGCAACCAUUGCUCGCGUCGCAGAUACAAUCAUAAUCCGGACAGUGCCUUUGCAGCUGAUCAACUUCAAAAUUCAUAGCAUAAGUUAAAUCGAUGAUUGGCCCCGUCUCUCUUGGGUAGCCUCUACGGUUAACUUUAGCAGGGUACACGUACUCGGACGAUGAUAGAUUUCGUAGGAAUGAGAUGCGUUGGGAAUGGAAGUAUAGCUCAUUGAUAUUAUCCGACAACCUGCUCAAAACCGUGGUGUGCAUUUUCAGGCUCAGUCGGAAGACCAACUUUCCAUGCAGUGCUUCUAUCAACCAAGGAAGCUACUUCUUGAAAAUAUGUAAGCACAUCGCAUCAUGUCUUCACAUAACACCUGCUCCGGCAAUUGGGGAGGCGAGCUCCCGAUGUAGCACAACUCGAUGGAAACUGAAACAUUUUGUUGUUUAUAAACACCUUGCUGUUGUGUGGUUGAGGGUUGUAUUCUUUGGUAUUGUCGAGUGUAAACCGAGUUUGGUGUAACUUACAGUUUCGCAUCAUGAAGAUGUGAUUUAAAAAAAUAGAAAAGGUUGCUGCGAAAGAAUAGAAUUAAAAUACGACCGAUCUAUGUUCAACUACCAACCGAUCUUGUCCAUCAUAUUAAUUAGAACAAAUGAAGGGCCCACAUUGAUAUAAGGGCACCAUAUCUUCUUGACUCAAAUUCUUAGGCCUCUUCUAAUUCUCCACCUUGUACAGAUGCUAAGGCUGUCAUGUAGGCGAAAAAUCUUAUGUAGCAAGGUAAUUAAGAGGAGAGAGAUGAGCGUGAUAAUCCUAAAAAGAAACAAUGCCAAACACAUGAACCGUAGGCAAAACACUUAAAUGAAAAAAAAUCCAUCAAUGCAUGAAUAACUUUAGUUGCUAAAUCAUUAAAUGAAGGAUGCUUAGCAAUAACAAGUUAAGCAUUUAUGCAUUGGAGGCUUUAGUUACUUAGUCCUUUAAUAUGCUUAGCAUCUUAUCUUAGCACCGAUGCAUUAAAAGUAUCCUUAGCUGAAGUGGAGCCAGAGCUAUGAAGGCGGAAUUUAUGCAAUGCAGUCAAUGAUCACUUAAAAUAACAGAACAAUUUUUUUAAUAGUCUAGUUGAUGCAAUACCCCAGAAAACAAAAAACGAAGCAAUUCAUAUCGAGAUAAAAUGUGCCCGGAUACAUUUCUAUCAGAAGUCGUAAUCAUCCUUUUCUAACAUUAGACGUAUAAGUAAAAUACAUGCACAUUCAUAACAUAAGGUCCCUUUCUCNNNNNNNNNNAGUGGGGCAGUAGGUGGCCAAUUGCAACCAUUGCUCGUGUCCCAGAUACAAUCAUAAACCAGGCAGUGCCUUUGCAACAGAUCAACUUCAAAACCCAUAGCAUAAGUUAAAUCAAUGCUUGGCCCCGUCUCUUUUGGGUAGCCUCUACGGUUAAGUGUAGCUGGGUACACGUACCAUGACGAUGAUAGAUUUCGUAGGAAUGAGAUGCGUUGGGAAUGGAAGUAUAGCUCGUUGAUAUCAUACAACAACCUGCUCAAAACCGUGGUGUGCAUUUCCAGGCUCAGUCAGAAGACCAACGUUUCCAUGUAGUACUUCUAUCAACCAAGGAAGCUGCUUCUUGAAAAUAUGAAAGCACAUCGCAUCAUGUCUUCACAUAAUACCUGCUUCGGCAACUGGGGAGGCGAGCUCCCAUUGUAGCAGAACUCGAUCGAAACUGCAACAUUUUGUUGUUUAUAAACACGUUGCAGUUGUGUUGUUGAGGGUUGUAUUCUUUGGUAUUGUUGAGUGUCAACUGAGUUUGGUGUAACUUACAGUUUCGCAUGAUGAACAUGUGAUUUUAAAAAAAUAGAAUAGGUUUUUUGCAAAAAAAUAGAAUUAAAAUACGACCGAUCUAUGUUCAACUACCAACCGAUCUUGUCCAUCAUAUUAAUUAGAAAAAUGAAGGGCCCACAUAGAUAUAAGGGCACCAUAUCUUCUUGACUCAAAUUCUUAGGCCUCUUCCAAUUCUCCACCUUGUACAGAUGCUAAGGCUGUCAUGUAGGCGAAAUAUAUUAUGUGGCAAGGUAAUUAAGAGGAGAGAGAUGAGUGUGAUAAUCCUAAAAGGAAACAAUGCCAAGCGCAUGAACCUAGACAAAACACUUAAAUGAAAAAAAUCCAUCAAUGCAUGAAUAACUUUAGUUGCUAAAUCAUUAAANNNNNNNNNNAAUGCUUAGCAAUAACAAGUUAAGCAUCUAUGCAUUGGAGGCUUUAGUAACUUAGUCCUUUAAUAUGCUUAGCAUCUUAUCUUAACACCGAUGCAUUAAAAGUAGCCUUAGUUGAAGUGAAGCGAGAGCCAUGAAUGCAUAAUUUAUGCAAUUCAGUCAAUGCUCACUUAAAAUAACAGAAUAAUUUUUUUAAUAGCCUAGUUGAUGCAAUAGCCCCAAAAAAACAAAGCAAUUCAUAUAGAGAUAAAAUGUGCACGGAUUCAUUUCUAUCAGAAGUCGUACCCGUCCUUUUCUAACAUUAAACAUAUAAGUAAAAUACACGCACAUUCAUAACAUAAGGUCCCUUUGUCUGGAGAUACAAUCAUAAACCAGACAGUGCCUUUGCAGCAGAUCAACUUCAAAACUCAUAGCAUAAUUUAAAUCGAUGCUUGGUUCCGUCUCUGUUGGGUAGCCUCUACGGUUAACUUUAGUUGGGUACACGUACCAUGACGAUGAUAGAUUUCGAAGGAAUGAGAUGUGUUGGGAAUGGAAGUAUAGCUCGUUGAUAUCAUCCGACAGCCUGCUCAAAACCGUGGUGUGCAUUUUCAGGCUCAGCCGGAAGCCAACGUUUCCAUGCAGUACUUCUAUCGACCAAGGAAGCUACAUCUUGAAAAUAUGAAAGCACAUCGCAUCAUGUCUUUACAUAACACCUGCUCCGGCAACUGGGGAGGCGAGCUCCCGUUGUAGCAGAACUCGAUUGAAACUGAAACAUUUUGGUGUUUAUAAACACCUUUGUGUUGUGUGGUUGAGGGCUCUAUUCUUUGGUAUUGUCGAGUGUAAACCGAGUUUGGUGUAACUUACAGUUUGGCAUGAUGAACAUGUGAUUUUAAAAAAAACCAGAAUAGGUUGCUGCAAAAAAAUAGAAUUAAAAUACGACUGAUCUAUGUUCAUCUACAACCCGAUCUUGUCCAUCAUAUUAAUUAGAACAAAUGAAGGGCCCACAUUGNNNNNNNNNNUAAGGGCACCAUAUUUUCUUGACUCAAAUUCUUAGGCCUCUUUCAAUUCUCUACCUUGUAUAGAUGCCAAGGUUGUCAUGUAGGCGAAAUAUCUUAUGUGGCAAGGUAAUUAAGAGAAGAGAGAUGACUGUGAUAACCCUAGAUAGAAACAAUGCCAAGCACAUGAGCCUAGGCAAAACACUUAAAUGAAAAAAGUUCAUCAAUGCAUGAAUAAAUUUAAUUGCUAAAUCAUUAAGUGAAGGAUGCUUAGCAAUAACAAGUUAAGCAUCUAUGCAUUGGAGGCUUUAGUUACUUAGUCCUUUAAUAUGCUUAACAUCUUGUCUUAACACCGAUGCAUUAAAAGUAGCCUUAGCUGAAGUGGAGGAAGAGCCACGAAGGCGGAAUUUCUGCAAUGCAGUCAAUGCUCAUUUAAAAUAACAAAACAAUUUUUUUAAUAGUCUAGUUGAUGCAAUACGCCAAAAAAACCCAAAUCAAUUCAUAUAGAGAUAAAAUGUGCCCGGAUUCAUUUUUAUCAGAAGUCAUACCCGUCCUUUUCUAACAUUAAACGUAUAAGUAAAAUACAUGCACAUUCAUAACAUAAGGUCCCUUUCUCUGGCACACUAACACUAUAAAUUGUGGGGUUGUACGUGGCCAAUUACGACCAUCGCUUGCGUCGCACAUACAAUCAUAAACCAGACAGUGCCUUUGCAGCAGAUCAACUUCAAAACUCAUAGCAUAAGUUAAAUUGAUGCUUGGCCCCGUUCUCGUGGAUAGCCUCUACGGUUAACUCUAGGUGGGCAAACGUACCCGGACGAUGGUAGAUUUCGUAGGAAUGAGAUGCGUUGGGAAUGGAAGUAUAGCUCGUUGAUAUCAUCCGACAACCUGCUCAAAACCGUGGUGUGGAUUUCCAGGUUCAGCUAGAAGACGAAAGUGUCCAUGCCGUACUUCUAUCAACCAAGGAAGCUACUUCUUGAAAAUAUGAAAGCACAUCAUGUCGUGUCUUCACAUGACACCUGCUCCGGCAACUCGGGAGGCGAGCUCCCGUUGUAGCAGAACUCGAUCGAAACUGAAACAUUUUGUUGUUUAUAAACACCUUGUUGUCAUGUGGUUGAGGGUUGUAUUCUUUGGUAUUGUUCAGUGUAAACCAAGUUUGGUGUAACUUACAGUUUGGCAGGAUGAACAUGUGAUUUAAAAAAACAGAAUAGGUUGCUGCAAAAAAAAUAGAAUUAAAAUACGACCGAUCUAUGUUCAACUACCAACCGAUCGUGUCCAUCAUAUUAAUUAGAACAAAUGAAGGGCCUUGGUUCUCCUCCUCCUCCGUCGGGACCUGCAAACCAACCCAUCACAUUAGAGAUGCACACCUGCCUAGGAAAAGAAAUCGCAUGCCUGCAUCAGGGAUUGGGAGAGGAAAUUGAAAUAGAGAGAGGGGAGGACCUUGAUGCUCAUACUUGUCCUGGGACUGGGUCUGGAUCACUGGAGGAAGAAAGGAGCUUGACGAGCACAAGAGCGGCGUCCAGGGCAGAGGAGGCUCCGCUACAUGGUGCCUUCCUAUAGAUAAGAGACGAGUUUGGGUUAGACUUCAGAGAGGUAGAGAAGAAGAGAAAGAAGAAUAAGAAGAAGAAGAAGAAAAAGGUGAGAGGUUUAUACCGUAGCACCGUCGUGGAGCCCUCUUUGCUCGGUCGGUCGCCAUGGCCGGCAGCUAGGGUUUCUGUCGCUAGGAGAGAGGGAGGAUCUGACUGUGGUCUUUGUUGCUCGAGCGGAUCUAUAGGCGGGGAGAGGAGGGGAGGCGGCGUCGGCAGUGGAGUGGAGGUCGGGGUUGGGGAAGACAAUGGAGGCCGGCGAUAUUGAUAUCACGCUGCGGUCAAUGCGAGCGUGGGGGAGGCAGGUGUGUUCGUGGGUCGCGCGUCUUUUUUUUGGCCUUUUGUCGGGCUAGGAUGGGAGAAGUAGGCGUGGGAGGGGCGAUCGCAGGUGGGUACGAGCGAGGUUGAACCAUCACGGCAACGGCUGAUUCCCCUUUAAUAGUAGAGAUUUGGAAGAGUCGAGGCUCCAAACCUGGACAACCAAACUUGCACAAUAUCGAGUUCGCAAUCAAGCUCAAGUAUUAAUGCUAGCGUUUCAUGGCGCAUUAACCUUUUGUUAGCAAAGGAAAAGGAGUAUAUCAUUACUGUCUGAUCUUCGAACGCGCUAGCAAAACCGUUGGCAUCCUCUGGGUUGAAGGUGAUCUGACGAAUAGUUCCAGAGUGUUCAUCCUCAAAAGUUUGUGAGCACUCACAGCCUUUUUCCAAGUUCCAAAGCCUAAACGGUCUGUCAUAAGGAGAUGACAGCACAAACGGCUGGGUUGGAUGGAUGGUCAUUGCUGUGACCCCUGAAAAACCAGCUCUGAAACUCAUGAUCUGUGUACUAUCUCUGUUCCGUAGGUGCACACAUUGAUGAAGGCAUGAAGCCAUCGUCUGCACCAGCCAGAAACCAUUGCUUCUGUGCGAUAAAUUUAAGGAAUUUAAGUGUCGCUGAUAGCCCUGAAAUUUGAUUAUUGAACCAUGGGAUUUGAGAAGAAUCAACGACGUAGGAGCCGUCUGACAAAUGUUUCCUAUCAGACUUUUGGUAAGAAGUGUUUGCGAAGACUAAAGGAUUGUGCUACUAAUCUAAUCAAAGUUAGCUAAUCAAAGUUAGGAAUGAUGGCGAUGAUGGUAUACAAAGUUGCAAAUCACUGUCUAACUAUGUAUUAGAAUUUACCGAUUGUCUAAUUUUUAAUUUUGACGGAACUCGUUGUCAAUGUAACCAAUUAUACUCGACUCAUUGUCUCUACAUGGCUAAUGGCUUCUACAAGUCUACAUGAUUGGUCUGAUUGAGUACCCCAGGUUGGUGGUGCUUGAAAAGGGGAAGGCCCAGGUAUAGUUGUUGCCUCCACCGCCUCUCCUCUCUUCUGCCACUAGAAUUCUAGCUCACUUACGUGCUCCGCCUCCUUUGUUCUUGCUCCAACACCUCUGCAUGGUUCUACAUAUCGGAGUCAUCCCACGUUGAACCACCCACAUGAUGUCAGAGGCAGUUGCNNNNNNNNNNNNNNNNNNNNNNNNNNNNNNNNNNNNNNNNNNNNNNNNNNNNNNNNNNNNNNNNNNNNNNNNNNNNNNNNNNNNNNNNNNNNNNNNNNNNGGGGGGGGGGGGGGCAACCCACCCCGGGGAAGCCCAUAGGCAUUGAGGGUGGCGCACCAUCCCUUAGUGGGCUGGUGGGACAGCCCAAAAGGGCCCUAUGCGCAUUGGAAGAAAAAUCAAAGAGAAAAAAAAAGGAGGAGGUGGGAAGGGAAGGAAGGACUCCCACCCACCAAACCAAGUCCAACUCGGUUUGGGGGGGGAGACCUUCCCCCCUUGGCUCGGCCGACCCCCUUGGGGCUCCUUGAGCCCCAAGGCAAGGCCCCCCCUCUUCCCCUAUAUAUACGGAGGUUUUAGGGCUGAUUUGAGACGACUUUUCCACGGCAGCCCGACCACAUACCUCCACGGUUUUUCCUCUAGAUCGCGUUUCUGCGGAGCUCGGGCGGAGCCCUGCUGAGAUUAGAUCACCACCAACCUCCGGAGUGCCGUCACGCUGCCGGAGAACUCAUCUACCUCUCCGUCUCUCUUGCUGGAUCAAGAAGGCCGAGAUCAUCGUCGAGCUGUACGUGUGCUGAACGCGGAGGUGCCGUCCGUUCGGCACUAGAUCGUGGGACUGAUCUCGGGACGGUUCGCGGGGCGGAUCGAGGGACGUGAGGACGUUCCACUACAUCAACCGCGUUCACUAAUCCCCUCUCGUAGAUCACUCAUCCCCUCUCGUAGAUGGACAUCACCAUGAUAGGUCUUCGUGCGCGUNNNNNNNNNNCUAUACUGAUACACUCCACUCACAAUCAUCCUCAUAUACCCACCUAGUUAAUCUCACUUCAACAUCCAACCCAUAUGUGGCAACUCGACAACAUGUGUUGAUCCGUGAGCAUAUAUAAUAUGACAACACUACCACAAAGAGAAGAUAAUAAAUUCUGAUGAAUGUUGAGCUACUCCAAUGUCCCACCUUGAAAGGUACUCCGUUCAUCCCAAAAUAUAAGAUAAUUUUUUACACUAUCUAGUGUCAGGGACCAAAUCUCAAUCUCCAUUUAAGAAAGGCAUAGGACAACCAUAGGGUGUCGACCUUCGUGUUUCUGACCGGACUGCCUGAAAAAUGUUCACCAUCCUUCCAAGUUAAACUCAUAUUUUAAUUAGUAGAAGAUUAAACAGAUGUUGUACUUCCUCCGUCACGGUUUAGAAGGCACAGUUAAACUUGCGUGCGUUUCCAAAAUAGACAAGGUUUAAGGCGUGAAAGCAAUUACUCUUAUUAAUUAGUACUAGUACUAGUCAUGCAUGCGCCCUCCCAAUUUGCUGCUCAGACAUUAGUACUAGUAUUUUCUCAGUUGAUUAGGUGCAUUAGCAUUUACACCUGCUACAUCUCACAACCAAUCGAUGACUACCUUGGUCCCAGAGAUUUUCAAGUGUGCCUUCUAAACCGUGACGGAUGAAGUACUGUUGAUGCAUUCAAGAAACAAAUUCUGACAUAAAUGAUUAGUUACCAGAAUGAGAAGAUGUGCCAUGCACCACUAAAUAAAAUAAAUACUAAUUCGUCUCUUAUUUUUUCCCAUUUUAACCAUGAAACAACAACCAGUUAAAGUGUUCGACAAAUCAGAUCAUGCUUGCUCUGGUAGAACAGGCUAUUCUAGCAGAUGUCAAUCUACUCAAAAACUUGACAACUAUGGUCCUUCCGCAGAUGCUAGCAACAAUAGACAGUCGUGGAUAAUUUCCUUUGAUCAAAAUGACACGCCACAUUGUUCCACUAGUCCGUCGGUGGGAUGGUUGAACUGAGCUCAAUCAGUACAAACCACUCGAGCAUGCAUCGAGCAAGGAGAUGCCAAACUACCUUGCAUUUCUGUUCAACUUGGCAGAACCAAAAAUUUCAGUUCAUGGCGUGCUAGCAUAGCAUAUGCACACUGAUGAUUAGGAUGUGCCUCGCAUGGUUACAUUAAUUUGAGUGCAAAAUGGUUUAAUAGAUUCACUGUGGGCGCCAGCAAACAGAAAAAGAUUAUUGUCAAGUAUUUGUUUCCUGUGAAGGAUAUCUCUGACUUUAAUUAUUUGUUGGCUAGAAACCAAGCAAAAAAUCUUCUGUUUUCUCUUAGAGCCUGUGGAUAUUGUUUUUAGACUAAUUGUAUACGUUGCCAACAGAAAACGUUUCAGUUUGCUUACCGCUUCCAGCCACGCCUCACGCCUGUCAACUAAAAAACUACUGAUAUUCAAAAAAAAUACUGAUAAGUUGGAAACCGACANNNNNNNNNNNNNNNNNNNNNNNNNNNNNNNNNNNNNNNNNNNNNNNNNNNNNNNNNNNNNNNNNNNNNNNNNNNNNNNNNNNNNNNNNNNNNNNNNNNNACUCCUUCGAAGAUACCACANNNNNNNNNNCCGCCAACCGACAAGGUGGUUGGUAUUUUUUGAUAAAGGGAAUUUUUAUCGACUCAAAAUGUAUCAUCAAAUGAAAAACAAACUUAAAGAAGGUGAAGAAGACAACAUAUUAUCAACAGUGUGAUCAUAUAGGACCGACACUAUGUUUAUGUCAAAGAAGGUGAUGGACCAAUCCAAAAAUUAUGCUGCCAUCCAUAUUGGAUAAAGACUUCUAUGAUCAGCCGCUCCAACCGCAUACACACCGCUUUAAACAUCAAUCGGUACUUCGUUCGGUGUAGCGUAGACCAUGUACGAUGUGAGGGCAAACAACACAAAACAACCUCGGAGGUGUUUUUGCCCUCAAAAAACAAGUUAUUUCUUCAUAACCAAAGCGCUUAUAAUAAGACAUAUUCUUCCGCCCGAAUUAGCAUUAUAAACCUGUUUGAAUUCCAUCCAACGAAUGACCAAUAAUAUUGAUAACACUUGUGGAAGGAUACAAAUUAGACGCUAUUCGGUCAAUGAAUAAGUAGAACAUGCAAAUUUGUAUCGAAAAAGAGGGUUUUAUUAUUAUAUCGUCAUGAAUACAUAAAGUCUUCUUACUUCCUUGCCAAUNNNNNNNNNNUAAAGAUUUUAACUUCAAACGAAAUCUUUGACAUCCAAUUAUUUUUGUUAUUAUCCAUUGAAACCUCUGAAUGCGUGAACGCAUGGUACAUAGAGUAGACUGUGAAGGACCUAGAUGUAGUAAGAUUCCAACAAAACAUGUUCCGUCCUUGUGUUAGGUUAAUCGGCUCCAAUCGAGAUAACAGAUUUGGACAUGACAUAAGAUGGGGGCUAAUCAAAUCCCCCCGNNNNNNNNNNGAAAGAUUUUAACUUCGAAUGAAAUCUUAGACAUCCAAUUAUUUUUGUUAUUAUCCAUUGAAACCUCUGAAUGCGUGNNNNNNNNNNNNNNNNNNNNNNNNNNNNNNNNNNNNNNNNNNNNNNNNNNNNNNNNNNNNNNNNNNNNNNNNNNNNNNNNNNNNNNNNNNNNNNNNNNNNNNNNNNNNNNNNNNNNNNNNGAAAGAAAUAUUCGGCGAGAUUGAACUGAGCACCUGUACCAGAGUAUCAUUUCUAUCGUGAAUAAUGUGAUACAAAGUUGUAUAUUGUUCUCGAAAGCUGCCAUUGANNNNNNNNNNUCGCGAAGGAUACAAAGUGGAAAAGGUGUUUCUUCGUCGUCAUUAGACCAUACCAAAUGUGCGAGUCAUCAUAUUUCAAGUAGAUCCAUGACAUAACUUUCUGACCUAGAUACUUAUUCCACGACAGAGUUUAUUUUUUACUAUGUGGUUGGUAUGGGUACAUGUAACUGAGACCGGUUGAUUAUCUCUCUCUCUCGGAAAACGAUCUCUGAAGUUCAACAACCAUAGGAGCACNNNNNNNNNNNNNNNNNNNNNNNNNNNNNNNNNNNNNNNNNNNNNNNNNNNNNNNNNNNNNNNNNNNNNNNNNNNNNNNNNNNNNNNNNNNNNNNNNNNNAGGUCUGAUAGGAAGAUUAGCAUGACGUACCUUUGGGAGGGGCGACCGUUUGCGNNNNNNNNNNAGUAUCCGGAGCGGGCAGGCGGCGGAGACGGACGACCCAAGUCCGGCGGCGGUGAUCGAGAUGGACUCGUGUUGUGCUGGACGACGUCAUGUGGAGGGCUUGCACGUGAUCUGCUCUUUUUCACUUCCUUCUGCAAUGUGCGUAUAUAGUCAUCAGGCUUAUGGUGUAAGUCAUACUGUGAUGGAAGGGUCGUGAAGUAUUUUGCAAAUGCUAUUUGCUUCUAGGUGUAUUCCGGGCGGGGCUCGGGUUCCUUCUUUUUCAUCUGCGCAUCAUGAUGUUCCUUUGCUAUCCUCGUGUUUUCCUCGGGGGUACGAUCAUAAGGUCCGAUAGGAAGAUUAGCAUGACGUACCUUUGGGAGGGGCGACCGUUUGCGCUUUGGGGUGCUCUGUGGCUUAGGAAUCGUCGGCGGAGCGUUCUUGGUGGCACGCUCCCGCUUUAUAUUCGUGGCAGGCUCAGGCUUUGUAUCCGGAGCGGGCGGCGGCGGAGCGUUCUCGGUGGCACGCUCCCGCUUUGUAUCCGUGGCAGGCUCAGGCUUUGUAUCCGGAGCGGGCGGUGGCGGAGACGGACGACCCAAGUCCGGUGGCGGUGAUCGAGAUGGACUCGUGUUGUGCUGGCCGACGUCAUGUGGAGGGCUUGGAGGUAAUGGAGGUGUAGGUGACCUGCGACGACUCGGAGGCGGUGUUGUCCUUGGGGCCGAGCCUGGAAGCUUGAUGUAGUUCUUGUCCCAUAGGAUGACUCCACCCAGUACUUCUCCGAGUGUCCUCUCAUCUUCGGGUCCAGCUAUGUCGAGCUCCAUAUCAUUAAACCCCAUCAUGAUUUCAUCCACCCCGACUUUAGCAAAGCCAGCUGGAACCUCACGGCCAUGCCAGCGUGCAUCAGGGCCAGAAGGUAAAGCUUGUCCGACGGCCACCUUCAUGGAUAUGUUCUUGAAUUUCUGAUGGAUUUCACAUGAUGUUGACUCCUUGAUUCCAUCCACGGGGUAGCCGGGAUCGCCCUCUAUCAUUCUUCGUUCAUCGUCGGGCGGGGCCUCAGAUUCAGCCACACUGCUUUUCCGCUUAGAUGGGGCGCCGGUAAUAUCAAGUGCAGGAUCUUCCUGGCGCGGUACUCCUCUAAGCUCAUCAAUCUGCUUCUGUUGCUCGUUAAUCCUGGCAAGCAACUGGUUGAACUUGUCAUUCUCCUCAUCAUGUUGCCGCUUCUUUGCUCUCUCUCGGCUUCUGUAAGUGUCUUGGUCUCUGGCAAACCCAAGCCACCACGGGUAAGAUGGACCGAAGCCUCGCGUUCGUCCUCCAUGUUCGUCAUUGCCGAGGACCAGUGUGAGCAAAUCUUUAUCUCUAUCUGCAGUGAACUUUCUUUGUCCCUCCUUAAUUUCUUUCACUAUCCUUUUCCAAUUCUCCCUGGUAUCAUAAGAUUGUCAUUGCAGAUGAGGUCCCCUGUUGUUUCGUCGUACGACCCACCAUGCGCAAGGAACCAAUUUCUUGCUCUCAAUUCCCACUCAUCACGGAGUGGUUCAGGUACGAUGCCUUUAUCUAUCAGAUCUUGCUCUUUCUUUUCCCACUUUGGGAUGGCAGUCUCAUAGCCCCCUGGCCCCGGCUUGUGGUGAUAUUUCUUCUUGUCAGCAUUUAUCUUGUUCUUUUCUGAUAAUGCCUGGGCAUCUUCUGACUCCUUGUACUCUUGAAAUUUCGUUGCCUGCUUGGCUAGAUACCCCUCGAUGUCUUCAGAUAGUUUUUCCAUAGCUUCUUCUUCCAGCUACAGAACAGUUCAGCCAUCUUCUUUAGAGUCCACUACUUGACUUUGGCCCUCAGUUUGUCUGCGGCGUCUUCAUUCUCACAUUCUGGCAGGUUGAAAUGUGACAUGAGAUCAUUCCAAAGAUUAUCUUUGUACCUUUCGGCGACAUAGUCACUAUCGGCUGCACCUUUGCACUUGUUUCACUCCCGAACGCUGAUCGGGACGUGAUCCCUAAGAAGAACUCCGCAUUGCUUCUUGAAUGUGCUAGCAACAUUCUUAGGAAGCUUGGGUUCGCCCGUAGGCAUUAUCACCUCAAAGGUGUAAUGCGUCCGUGCAUCCAACUUUCUAGUCGGGCCUCGUUUCGUAGAUUUGCUCGAUGUGGAAGCCUAAGAGGGAAAAACAUUCGUCAAAUGAAUGUAUAUGUAUACAGUAUAGAGCUAUCUCCAAUAUUUUUCACAUAUUACAAGUGAUUGUCGAACUUCAUAUGUAUACCUCGCCGUACUUUAUUAUUUCUUCAACGACUUCUCCACCGCCUUCUCCAUCAGUGGAGCUAUCACCUUCUCCGUCAUUGGACCUAUCUCCUGCCCCAUCGGCUUCAUCUUCGUGUCGCUCGACCUCCAUUCCAUGUCCGGAGUCGUUUAGAUAUGACGUCGGAGAUUCGGCUGGUUCAACGUCGGGGCCGUCUUUGAUUAUAUCUUCGAGAAGUUCUUCCUCUUCGAGGUUCCUGAUAUGUGGAUCCAUAGUUCUGCAAAAAACGGACAUUUGAUUAACUAAUAAACUAACAAACUAUAUAAGAGGGGUUGGAAACUUCGAAGGCUCGUUUUAUAUAGGAGGACCUUUAGUCCCGGGUCUUGGCUAGAACCUAAACUCUAAAAUACCAGCCGGGCGGAGCACAGUCCCGGACACUUAAGCAUAUACAAUAGCAAAAUUAAACUAGUUCUAUUAAUUUUCUAGCUAAAAAUAAACUAUUAACACUUAAGCAUAUACAAUAGAAAAAUUAAACUAUUAACACUUCAGCAUAUACAAUAGCAAAAUUAAGCAAUAAUCUAAGAAACACUAUUAACACUUAAGCAUAUACACUAUACAAUAGGAAAAUUAAAUGACAAAAAAAAUAUUUCUUCUUCUUGUAACCCUAAACUAAUUUUUCCUCUUCUUCUACUUCUUCUUCUACUUCUACUUCUCCUCUUCUUCUACUACUUCUCCUCUCCUCUUCUUCUAUUUUUCCUCUUCUUCUCCUCUCCUCCUCUUCUUAUUCUCCUUUUUCUUCUUUUCUUCUCCUCCUCUUCUUAUUCUCCUUUUUCUUCCUUUCUUCUCCUUUUCUUCCUUUCUUCCUUUUUUCUUCUUUUCUUCUCCUUUUUCUUCUUUUCUUCUCCUUUUUCUUCCUUUCUUCUCCUUCCCCUUUUCUUCCUUUCUUCUCCUUUUUCUUCCUUUCUUCUCCUUUUUCUUAUUUUCUUCUCCUUUUUUUCCUUUCUUCUCCUUUUUCUUCCUUUCUUCUAUUUUUCUUCCUUUCUUCUCCUUUUUUCUUCCUUUCUUCUCCUUUUUCUUCCUUUCUUCUCCUUUUUCNNNNNNNNNNUUUCUUCUUUUCUUAUCUUUUUUCUUCCUUUCUUCUCCUUUUUCUUCCUUUCUUCUCCUUUUUCUUCUUUGCUUGUGCUGGCCGGAGUGUUGGGCAGGAGGGGGCGUGGGGCUUACCGGACGGAGGUGUCGACGGCGCGCGGCGAGGAGGGCGGCGCGCGGCGAGGAGGACGGCGGCAGCGAGCACGACGACGGCGACGGCGAGGAGGACAGCAGGCUGCGGCGAGCAGGACGGCGGGCAGCCUGACGGCGUCGUCGAGUUCGUCGCUUGCCGUGCCGGGCAGGAGAACGAGAGGAAGAAGAAGAGAAAUGGACGAUUUGGGUUCGAAAUUUUCUAACUCCCGCUUAUACAGGUGGAUCUUUAGUCCCGGUUCGGGGCUCGAUCCGGGACUAAAGACCCCUUUAGUCCCGGGUGGAGCCACGACCCGGGACUAAAGGCCCCUUUUCGGGCAGACCAAAAGGCGGGAAGCAGGGGCCUUUAGUCCCGGGGCGCGGCAAGAACCGGGACUAAAGGGGGUCUUUAGUCCUGGGUGAAGCCACGUCCCGGGACUAAAGGCCCUUUUUCGGUAGACCAGAAGGCGGGAAGCAGGGGCCUUUAGUCCCGGGGCGUGGCAAGAACCAGGACUAAAGUGUUGCCUAUAUAAACCCUCGCCCCUGCCCACCAUAUCCCCUGUUUUUUGGUUGUUGAAGUGUGACCAUGCCAUGCUCUUGCCACUCUAGUUCAUGCACAUGACGUGUUCGAUGAAAUGCCCGAGCCACUCUACUUAAGCUUUCUCCUCUCCAAGCUCCAUUUUCCUUAAUAUUUGUCUAGGUUUGGCCGUGCACCAACUCCGAGCACCACCGUGGUGAGCCUCUUGUUCUUAUCUUCUUUUUAAAAUCAAAAAAAUCUUACUUGUAUGAUUUAGAUACAUACUUGUAUAAAUUACUCACUUUCAUUAUUUUUUGUUAUUAUAUAGUGCGAUGGUUUUGGUAUCCGCCUCCGUCGGCCCUCGUCCUGUCUAUGAUUCGGAUGUGGUAUAUAUUAUCUUUUAUAACUAUUUGUUUUAUUUAGUGUUUAUGACAAUUAUGAUGACCAAUGUGACAUAUUUUUUUUUAAUCUAGGAGGUAUGUGAACCAGAAAUUCCAACCCACAUAAAAAUUCUUGUCGAGAAGUCAAAUUUGGUUGAAAAAGAAAACAAAUACUUGCAGAAAAAAUUGAAAAUAAUUGAGGAUAAGAAUAUGGAACUGGAGUUGCAUGUCGCCGAUGUCAUCGAUGAUCGCAAGAUGAAGAUCGAUGCGAUGCGGUUGAAGAUGGAUGCAAUGCGCUUGAAGAUGGAUGAAAUGCGCUUGAAGAUUAGGAAUAUUAGAAAAUAUGCCAUUGAUAAAGAGGCUUGGUAUCAUUAUGCUGUUGGGUAAAUUGUUACCUUAGUUGCGAUUUUGAUCGCGUUUUUUGUUGCAUUUAAAUGUUUUACAUAGUUGUAUGUUGUUUUAUGAGAGAACUUUGUGUAUUUAUUUUUUGCAAUAAUAACAUUUGAUCACUACUGUCCUUUGGCUUUAAUGUGAUGAUGAACUUGUAUUAAUUUGGUCAUAUGUUCUCCAAUGGUUUUUUGAUAUAUUUAAUUUCAUAAUAGAGAUGAAUCGCCAAUGAUAAUAUUUAAUUUCAUAAUAUGGUUUUUUGAACUCCAUACUUUUUGUGUGUUCAACAAUUUCUAACUUCAUUUGGUAUAUUUCGUGCAUUUACUUAUUUUUUUGAGCUAGUUGACCCUGAAAUUGAAAAACACUACAAAUGAACUCUGAAAAUGUUGAAAGUUGGCAUGCUAUCAUCANNNNNNNNNNCACCCUGAAAUUGAAAAGCACUACAAAUGAACUCUGAAAAUGUUGAAAGUUGGCAUGCUAUCAUCAUUUCACCCACAUAGCAUGUGUUAAAAAGUUGAGAGGGCUACGACAAAAACUGGAUGCACUUCGUGGACAAAACGGACAAUCUCUCUCGAAGUAUCAGGGUUUCGAACGAGAACUCAUCUCUUACAAAGGCAUUUCAUUUUUUUGAACUUAUUUGAACUCCAUACUUUUUGUGUGUGCAAAAUGCACCAUUCAAAGUCACAUCACAAAAAAUCAACAAUUUAUGACUUCAUUUGGUAUAUUUCGUGCAUUUACUUAUUUUUUUGAGCUAGUUNNNNNNNNNNGCAAAAACUGGAUGCACUUCGUGUAUAAAACGAACAAUCUCUCUCGAAGUAUCAGGGUUUCGAACGAGAACUCAUCUCUUANNNNNNNNNNNNNNNNNNNNNNNNNNNNNNNNNNNNNNNNNNNNNNNNNNNNNNNNNNNNNNNNNNNNNNNNNNNNNNNNNNNNNNNNNNNNNNNNNNNNAAAGAUAGUUGGGAGUCUUCGCUAUUUGGUACACACAAGACCUGACAUUGCGUUCGGAGUUGGCUAUGUUAACAGGUUCAUGGAGGCUCCCACGACUGAGCACUGGGCGGCUGUUAAGCACCUGCUAAGGUACGUGUCUGGAACGCUGAACUAUGGAUGCAUAUACAAGAAAGGGGGUGUCGAGCCACAGCUUGUAGGCUACAGCGAUGCAGAUUUUGCUGGAGAUGUUGAUGACAGGAAGAGCACAUCAGGGACAGUGUUCGUCUUUGGGGGGAGCGCGAUCAGUUGGCAAUCUCAGAAACAGAAAGUGGUUGCUCUCUCCUCCUGCGAAGCCGAAUAUAUGGCAACAACCACAGCUGCUUGCAUUGGUGUCUGGCUCCGGCAAAUGCUCGCAGAUCUCCUCGGGGAACCUCAAAGGAAGACCAUGCUGCUCAUCGACAACAAGUCUCCGAUCCAACUUUGCAAGAACCCUGUCUUUCACGACAGAAUCAAGCACAUUGAGACUCGGUUUCACUUCAUUCGCGAGUGUGUGCAGGACGGAAGGGUGGUCGUCCACUAUGUCCACACCGGCGAGCAGCUCGCCGAUAUUCUCACAAAGGCUCUGCCUCGAGAGAAGUUCCAGGAGCUGCGAGAGAAGUUGGACAUGGUAAACAUCAACAGCUGAUUAGGGGGGAGAUUGUUGGCUCUAACAGCUGCUGGAGAGGAAGAAGAAGUUCAGAAGUUCAGAAGUUUCAGUGUCGAAACUCUCUUCAGUUUCGACAGUCAUUUUCUUUCUGUCAGUUAGAAUAACCGAGCUGCGUCUUGGCCGUAGUUUGUUAGCUGUUAUCGCGGCCUUGACUUGAUCGUGGGAUGGCACGAAGUAGAUGGUCAAGGCCGUUAGAUGUGCGACGCGCGAGGAUCGCUGGGAUGGCAGCGAUCGUGACUCGGGCCUCGCUAGUUUUCCCUUAUUUUCAGGAGUUUCGUUGUAGCUCUGAAUAAAAGUAACGAGAGCAGAAAAGCUGCAGUUGUUCGCAGCGCAAAACACUCUCCCUCACUGCAAUCGUAAUCUCGCCACUCUCUCUACGAUCUCCACUCCCAACAAAUAACAAUGCGAAAGCAAUUUAUAGCACAAGACUAAAAUUCAUGGAAAGGAAACAAAAUACAAAACCAAAAUCAGGACCCAAGCCUUGUAAUCACGGGCAUGUACCUGCAUCUUACGCAUCUCAAAUCGACCAAUAAAAAGUGUAACUGAUAACAUGAGGUCGAAAACAGUUUUAAACAAACUGUUGAGGUCCUGCAGAACAUAUCGACAAAUAGUCAGCCAUUUUUAUAACAUCAAGUUGAUAAUAAGUUCUUAUGUAUAGGUCAAGAACAUACCCAGAAUAUCAACAAACCAUGUCCUGAAAAUCCGAUUUCAACAGUUUCUUCACAUUCUCGUACUCCAAAAUUGUUGAAGGAUGAGUUAGAGCCCAUCUAUACAACAAUUCAAGGAAACAAGGAGAAUGAAUGAGUCAGUUACAUUGAGCAUCUUUUUCUGGCCUAUUUUCUUAUCUACUAGACAAAUAAAGUGGUCAUCAUCAUGUCCAACUUCUCAGUAUCUUAAUAAUUAAUAAUUACCCGAGGAUAUCUUAUUCAGUCACACAAUAUUAUUCACUAAAGCAUAUUCGUAUGAUGUAUAAGUAAUAAACUAAAUACAACACCUUUUAGUUUUUUCCCAAGGUUCGCCAACAACCAUUAGCAUUUUGUUAAGGGGCCAUGGACGUUGACAAUCAUAUUAUAGUUCUCCUUAGAUGAAACACUGACGAAUAUAUUGCAUUUCCUGAGAAAGCAUUGAGGCUAUUGCAAAAAACGGAUCAGGAGGCUCCCACAGCAAUUGAUGUGAGGCCUGCUCCUGCCGCCGCUGUCGGGGGGCAUCGUCGGGCAAAGCCCGUGUGGUGUGGAGCAUCGGCGGAUCUCCCGGCCAUAGAUCGGAUUGAGGUUGUGGCGUUCUGCACCGGCCUUUCAACGACAAUGCUGCGGGGAGGCGGCGGCCAGGAUUUGCGACCUGCGAUAGCGGACGGUCAAGGUGAGUGGAUUGCAGCGGCAGUGGACACGUCCAAUCUAGGCUGAGAUGGGUUCCGACUAGCAGUCACCUACGUCGUUGUACCGGCUGCAUCUCAACGUCUCCGACGUUAGUUUGCGGGUUCGUGGGCUUGUCCCGCAGCACGAGGAAGCCAGAGGCUCCGACCCCGGCGACGGCGUUGGUAGCCUCCUCCUCCACCGGAGGUGGUCGACUGGCUGGUUGUGGCAGAUCCCUAGAUCCCACGGCUAGCCCCGGCGCGCGAGUUGGGGAGGCGUGAUUGCCGGUGAAAACCGAGCUUCGACAAUGGUCAUGUUAGGCGAUGGCGACAUCUACGGGGCGUUACUUCGUUGAAGGUAUCGCCAUUGUAACCACCUUCUACUCACUCGUGUUGCUUCGGGGGAAAUCCCUCACGCGGAUGAUGGAGGCGCUCUUGGUGUAGAUCUCCCUCAUGCGGGCAUUGUUUUGGAGCAGCUGCUAGUCGAAGGAGGCAAGCAGUGGAGGGGUGUACAUCUAUCGUGUCUGCGACGCUGAGUCUCGGCGGCGUGGCGCAAUAGGGUCUUGGUGAUGGGUGUGAGAUGAUGGACUCGCGCAGGGCGGGGAUGCUGUCUGGCGUCGUGGUGGCGUCGACGGCAGGCCUACCAAGGUCAAUGCGUCAGUACUUGCUCUGAAGAUGGAUCGAUGGAAGACGGUGGUGACGGCCUUUGUAGCGGGUGCAUGUGGUGCCAGCUAUGAGUGCGUCAGACCGGUGUAUGCCUCAGACCUAGCAUUACGGCUUGGUUGAGGUCUUCAACUUUAAAUGUUACGUUUUGGUGUGUGAGGUCUGGGUAUAUGGCUCAGACAAUCCGCAACCCUUUAUCAAAUGGAUAGAAGUAGCGACAAAUAUUGUUAAGACGAUGGCUUCGGACCUAUUGAUGUACUAUCUUUUAAAGUCUUGGUCAAUAAUUAAUAAAAUGAUUGCAUGCAUCGUCCAGAUGCACAGACCGGGGUCAUCCUCCUUUUUCAAUAAUAAGAUAAAAAAUAUAUUGUGUUUCCUUUUCAUCGUCAUAAGUUCCCUCUUAAGAUGACAGAAUGCAAACUUAUAUGUUGACUUGUUUAUAGUACAUUAAAAAGAUCUGAUCUACCAGAUGGAUGUGUUCAGACAGUAGACAUACCCAGUUGACCGCUCCACGCCAUAAUUGGCUGUGUAAAAGCCCACAAAGAAUAGACAGGUGAAAUGAAGUUGAAGUGUUCACAUCCAUUGGAAGCAUUCUGCAACAAACAUACAAGAUAAAAAUAGAACAGUAAAUAAACAUAAGAGAUAUCCAAGCACGAACAGAAGGUGAAGUACUCCCUCCGUCUCAAAAUUCUUGUCUUAAGUUUGUCUAGAAAUGGAUGUAUCUAAAUACUAAAACAUAACUAGAUACAUUCAUAUCUAGACAAAUCUAAGACAAGAAUUUUGGGAUGAAGGGGGUAUAUACUAACUUCUCUAUAAAUGGCCUAUUUCGAGAGAAGUGGGUAAUCACCGGCAGAGCCAACCGGAGCAAACCAGGACGAGCAAGUCUUGUCUUUAAACUUAUGCAAUCGCAAUAGCUUUGAAAUCAGUGUAUUAUUGUUUUCUCUGCAGUGAAAAUGCAACUCAGCUAGAAGUUGUACGAUCAAUAGAUUUGUCCCUUGAAAGAGUCCUGUUACCGCAGUGGCUGUAGAACACGCAGCAAGCUAUACCUAUCACCUGUGAUGUGAUAGAAAAUGCAGAUCUUAGAAAAAUCACAAGUAUCUAAAUAAGAUGAACGGAAACGUGAAUCGUUGUAUGCCAAAAAACUUACUGCACAAUUUUGGAUUAUAAAUAGCUUGUUCUCUGCCAUGAAAGAAAAUGCAGAUCUUAGAAUCUCUAGCUUGUUCUCUGUCAUGCGAGUCAAGCUGACAUGCGAGAAACAAGACCCAAAUACCAGAGGCCAAGAAAUACGACAUGGAAGACGAUCAAGAAAACUAGAGAGGAAAUAUAAAUAGCGAGGAACAGGGAAAGACUCAUCCUCAAAUCCAACCCCAUUGAUUGAAAACUACGGAGAUGGUAUAGUGCUGCAAAAAAUAUAUACCCAAGCGAUGUACCUGCAUUCACAAACAACCUCAGGGAACUAACUAAUACAUCUUGUUUUACUUAAAAUAUCUUUUCAAAGACUCCAGAGAUUACUUACCAACGACUAAAGUUUGAAUAGUUUGGCUUGAUAGUCUUCCUAAUCAUGAAAUGUCUCGAGUGCUCAUGUGGGUAUGGGUAUCCAUGAGUCAGAAUGGUCCUAACCCUCUCCAUUUUAAGGGAUUCAAUCAGAUGACCAACGGGCUGCUUAUGGAGCUUUUCUCUUCCAUUAAAAAUAAUGCACACAAAGUGAGUGAUAGUUCAUACUCCGAUUCAAAGCAACCACAGAGGGCCCUUUGUCACUGGAGAAAAAUCAUAAUGUCUACGUGAUAGCGCAGAGAGAUGAUCUACAAUUCAUCUGUAAAGGUACUUAUUUUCUGCCUUCAAAGCUAAUAGUAGAGCACUUGGCGAAAAGAAAGAAGAGAAUCCUACUCCCUCCAUAUCUAAAUAAUUGUAUUUGGAAGAAUUAAUCGGGUUCUUUCGAACUAUAAUUAUUUAGAUAGAGAGGAAGUAGAAGUUAUGCAGAGUAUUCUCUGCAUACUGCCACAGCCACUGAGUAAACCCGUAGUACCCUGACCAUGUUGGCAUGAUAUCUAUCCUACAAGCUGUCUCAGCAGCUCCACACUCAAGCACGUAAAUACUACUGGUAGUAACAACCAUCCAUGCGAUAUGCAAUAUAUAAACGAAUCCUAGGAGGCUCGUAAACAUUCCCAGGUAGCGUUUUUGACGCCCUCCUCCUCGGCUCGAGGAGACCUCGCCCGCCGCCGGAGGGAGCCCGCUCGCCCGCCCCCUCCUCCUCCCGUCCAGCGCCGGGCAUUGGGAUCUCGCGGCUCGCUCCACCCGCGCCACCCCGCCCAAAUCCUAGCCGCCGUCACGGGAGAGUCGUGUUGCUGCAGCAGGAUCCAACGAAUCUGGAGACACGCACCGCGCCGUCACCGGACCCCCUCUCCGCCCCCACUCCCGCUUCGCCGCUGCUGGAGGGGACGCAGGCGAAGCCGCGCGCGCCCCGGGGAUGGCGGCGGAGGGGCCCCUCGCGUGGCCCUCGGGCUCUGACGGCAGCGCCCCGCGUCGACAGUUGCGGGAUCCGGUGUGAUCUCGCCAAUUGGUGGUGGCGGAGGGCGGAUCCGGGGCUCCAUGGCCGGAUCUGGCGGGGCACUCGGCCCUGGUGGUAGGGAGAGGCAGCCGGGCGCGACUGCGCUGGUCGGUUGGGCACGAGCAAUGUCCAGGCCGCGCGGUGCAGUGGCCUUGGUUGGGGGUUGUGAUGGUGCGUGGCGGCCAUGCUCAACGGUCGGUGAUGGUGGAUAUCGAGCGCAGCUCCGGGAGAAAUCCUUGCUCCGGUCUUCAUCGGAGUCGCGACGGCGACGCCCGCGGGUGCCGCUAUCUUUCUUGGAAGCGUCGUUGUAGAAGUGUGAUGUUCCCCUUCAUCGGCCGCUGCCCGCACCGCCACGUGCGCCCCCAGGUCCUGAUCUGUGGGCCUCUCUCCUGCGGAUUGACGGUGCCGGCGUGGUUGCCGGGGCCCUUCCUGCGGGUGAAGCCGGUGGAGGAGAUUCGGAUUGGGGAAACCCCUCGGUUGGCCCAGGCCCGCCAUGCCAACGACGACGCUCAAGGGCGCCGUUAUUCUUUUUGGAGACGUCGGUAUACAUCUGCUCCUCUGCCCCCCUUCCUUGCCUCUCGGGUGAAAAUCCUAACUUCGGUGGGCGGCGGCGGCGUCCUUGACGUCGUGACCUUCCUGAAGGCGUCGCCUUGAGGGCUGAGUGGUGGUGGGCACUGUGUGGGUCCUGAACGGUUGCUGGUGUGUGGGCACUGCUUCGGGGGAAACCCUAGGAUCUGGUCUUCCAGAUCGGACGAUGGCGGUACUGCGGUGCCGUUUCUCUCUUGGGAGCAUCGUUUGUGGAGGAGCGCUGGCAGACUGAGGCAGGAGGUGGUGCGGCUUCGUCUUGCACGGAAUUUCAAUGGAGCUGUCAAGUCAUGUCUGGCCGACACGUGCUACGCUAAGUCAUGCCUGGUUGGCAGGUGCUACGCACGAUAGAUCUCCCGGAGUCUUUGCAUCUGGACGGAUGGGCGCAGGGCGGUGGCGCCGUUGGGUGCCCUGGUAGCGUCGAAGGAUGAUUGGACUGGCAAGGAUGAUGCGGAUCUCUUUCCUGAAGAUGGAUCAGUGGUUCGAGGAUGAUGGCGGCUGGUAAAAUGUGUGCGUGAGGUGUGUGUUUUAGGUGUGAUGCACCGGCUGUUGUUCCCGAUACGUUAUGUGGAUGGAUUGAAAACAACACCGGUCUUAGAUAUGUGGAGUGAGAGCACUUCAUAUUAUCAAAUUUGUAGGUGUGAGUGGUGGCUUUGGAUGGAUUGAUGUAUAAUCUUGUUAAACCUUUGUGGAAUAAUUAAUAAGAUGGACACAUGCAUCAAUUGAUGCAGAGGCCGGGGGUUUGACCUCUUUUUCAAAAAAAAAAAAAAGGAAUCCUAGGAGGGGAAACUGGAUACAAACUGAAGGAGCCGAUUAAGCAUAUGGAUCCAUGCAUGGGAAAGGGACACGAUCGAGGCAAUCAUUAGCAGAGACAGAAACCUAGUCUUUAGUGUUGUUUUCCCUUCAGCAGAGACAGAAACCUUGUCAUUAGCAGAGACAGAAACCUAGCCCAAGUAUAAUAGACAGUAUCUGUGAGAAGAACAGAGAUCGCAACACCUUUAUAUGCCGGAGACGGACGAACCCGAGAAAGCAGAGCGAGUAAACAAGGCGGGCAUGCAGGAGGAUGUAACUAAACUAAACUGGUGGAGGUGGUGUAGAAAGCAGAGGAAGCAGAUCUGAAUUGGGCGCGCCCCUAACCCCAAUGCAAGCAAUGAAGGAAUCGCAUGCAGCAGCAAAGGGAGGAGGCUCUGGCUAUUUUGGCGUGCCCAAUUAAUGAUGCGGGAAGAAGGGGACGAACGCCUCUGGCCUGCGGCGAAACUCGGGAAGGUGGGCAAAUCUUUGGCAGCCCUGAAUCUGCCCCUGCUGCACCUCUCUGCUCUGCUCUGCUCUUGUAGCUAGCCGGGUGAGUGCGGUGGCGGUACAGUGGUGUCACGUCGGAAUAAAGCAGCAGCAGCCUAAAUCCUAAUGUGUGAUCGGUCGGCGUCUGUCUCCAAACCUCACUGACUUUUCUUCCUGCUCUCUGCUGAUCUCUGCUGCUUUUUGAUGCAGGAUACAGCGGGGAUGAGGGAACAAUACAGCACACUAGGUGAGACGCAGAGCCUGCAAUUGCUAAUCCACAUCUACAACUCUAGACUUAUACCCUCCGCCGUCCGUCGAUCGACACGUCGGUCACGCAACCUUUAUUCGUGCUUCCCUUUGCCCACAUGACCAUUAUUCUCCCCAUGCAUGUCAGCGCUCCUGUCCUCUCGCACCGCACCGAUUCCAUUCAUGCAUGAAAGCUUUUGUACUCGGCCAAAAUAAUGCACACCGACUGAGCCCGACGGUUAAGAAUGGCCGAACGGUUCAGCUUCUUCACAACAUCAGUAGUAAUCUCGAUAAACAUAGUAUUCCUGACCUCCUAUUUUUUUUUUUAUUACUUCUCCUACCGUUUGACACAUUUGCAGGCUUGAAUUCAUAUCCCUGAUACAUUCCAUUUCACAACAUUAGCAUUAGUAUGUUGAUAAACAUAGUACUCAGCGAAAUUGCAUACCGCCCGAGCUCGUAUUUGUUAGACUUAACCCUGUUGUUUAUAUUUUUGUUACGGUUUUAUUUCCGAGUUUGCAUGUAGAUCAAGCUGUGGCAUGUGCACACCUAGAGAUGUGAUCACGUGUAGACAUUGCAAAGCUUGUUAGUCGUGUAUGUAUAUGUCAGUGUGUUAGCACUAAUAGAAAACAGGGCUAUCGUUCGGCCCUGGCCAGCCCAUUAGUCCCGGUUCUUCAACCAAUGGGGGGGGUAUUAGACCCGGUUCGUGAGCCCAGGGGGCGGCCGGGGCCUCGUGGGCAUUGGUCCCGGUUCGUGUAGAACCAUUUGUCUCGGUUCGAGCCACGAACCGAGACCAAUGGUCCUCGCUGCUGGCCCACAACCAUUGGAUUGUUUUUUCAAUCCGGCGAGGAGAGGGCAUUUGGAUGCUCUAGUUCACCUCCCAUGUACAUGAGGUGUUCGAUGAAAUGCCCGAGCCACACUAGUUAAGCUUUCUCCUCUCGAAGCUCGAUCUAGGAGCUCCAUUUUUUUUCGAGAUUUGUCUAGAUUUAGGGGUCCGUCACGCCCCGUCCCCGUUUUCACCGCCGUUGAUCGCCCGCGCCGAUCUCGUCGCCGGCACCACCGUGGUGAGCCUCUUGUUCUUAUCUUCUUUAUGAUACUUGUCUGAUUUUCUUACUUUAGAUAGAUAUUUGUCUGAUUUCCUUAAUUUUGACACACAUAAUUAUAUGUAAUGCACGCAGAUGAACCGGCAAUGGAUGUAUGGUGACAGACACACCUCCGAGUACAUUAAGGGUGUGCAUAUUUUUCUCGAAGUGGUUGAGGCAAACAAGCAGAAUGGUUUUAUGUGUUGUCCAUGUAGUAAAUGUGGGAAUACGAAGUCUUACUCUGACCGGAAAAUCCUUCACACCCACCUGCUUUACAAGGGUUUCAUGCCACACUAUAAUGUUUGGACGAGGCACGGAGAAAUAGGGGUUAUGAUAGAAGACGACGAAGAAGAAGAGGACGAUGACAACUAUGUGCCCCCUGAAUACGGUGAUGCUGCAACGGCGGGAGUUGUUGAAGAUCAAGAGGAACCAGACGAUGUGCCCGAUGAUGCUGCAACGGGGGAAGCUGCUGAAGAUCAAGAGAAACCAGACGAUGUGCCCGAUGAUGAUCUCCGCCGGGUCAUUGUCGAUGCAAGGAUGCAAUGCGAAAGUCAAAAGGAGAAGCUGAAGUUCGAUCACAUGUUAGAGGAUCACAAAAAAAAUUUGUACCCCAAUUGUGAAGAUGGCAACACAAAGCUGGGUACCGUACUGGAAUUGCUGCAGUGGAAGGCAGAGAAUGCUGUGUCUGACAAAGGAUUUGAGAAGCUACUGAAAAUAUUGAAGAAGAAGCUUCCAAAGGAUAAUAAAUUGCCCGACAGUACGUACGCAACAAAGAAGGUCGUAUGCCCUCUAGGAUUGGAGGUGCAGAAGAUACAUGCAUGCCCUAAUGACUGCAUCCUCUACCGCGGUGUGUACGAGGAUUUGAACGCAUGCCCGGUAUGCGGUGCAUUGUGGUAUAAGAUCAGACGAGAUGACCCUGGUGAUGUUGACGGCGAGCCCCGCAGGAAGAGAGUUCCUACGAAGGUGAUGUGGUAUGCUCCUAUAAUACCACGGUUGAAACGACUGUUCAGAAACAAAGAGCAUGCCAAGUUGAUGCGAUGGCACAGUGAGGACCGUAGGAAAGACGGGAAGUUGAGAGCACCCACUGAUGGGUCACAGUGGAGAAAAAUCGGAAGANNNNNNNNNNNNNNNNNNNNNNNNUCGGAAGAGAGUACUGGGGCUGAGUUUGCACGUGACCCAAGGAACGUAUGGUUUGGUUUAAGCGCGGAUGACAUUAAUCCUUUCGGGGAGCAGAGCAACAAUCACAGCACCUGGCCCGUGACUCUAUGUAUGUAUAACCUUCCUCCUUGGAUGUGCAUGAAGCGGAAGUUCAUUAUGAUGCCAGUUCUCAUCCAAGGCCCUAAGCAACCCGGCAACGACAUUGAUGUGUACCUAAGGCCAUUAGUUGAAGAACUUUUACAGUUGUGGAAUGGAAACGGUGCACGUGCGUGGGAUGAGCACAAACAGGAGGAAUUUAACCUGCACGCGUUGCUGUUUGUAACCAUCAACGAUUGGCCCGCUCUCAGUAACCUUUCAGGACAAACAAACAAGGGAUACCACGCAUGCACGCACUGUUUAGCUCACACCAAAAGUAUAUAUCUGGGAAGCUGCAGGAAGAAUGUGUACCUGGGCCAUCGUCGAUUUCUUCCGACCAACCAUCAAUGUCGAAAGAAAGGCAAGCAUUUCAAAGGCGAGGCAGAUCACCGGAAGAAGCCCGUCAUGCGUACCGGUGAUCACGUACUUGCUAUGGUCAAUGAUUUACACGUAAUCUUUAGAAAGGGUCCCGACGGACUAGCUGUUCCGAGUGACGGUGGGGGACACGCACCCAUGUGGAAGAAGAUAUCUAUAUUUUGGGAUCUACCCUACUGGAAAGACCUAGAGGUCCGCUCUUCGAUAGACGUGAUGCACGUGACGAAGAACCUUUGCGUCAACCUGCUAGGCUUCUUGGGCGUGUAUGGGAAGACAAAAGAUACAACUAAGGCACGGGAGGACCUGCAACGUUUGCACGAAAAAGACGGCAUGCCUCCAAAGCAGUAUGAAGGUCCUGCCAGCUACGCACUUACCAAAGAAGAGAAGGAAAUCUUCUUUGAAUGCCUGCUUAGUAUGAAGGUCCUGACUGGCUUCUCGUUGAAUAUAAAGGGAAUAAUAAAUAUGGCAGAGAAAAGGUUUCAGAAUCUAAAGUCUCAUGACUGCCACGUGAUUAUGACGCAACUGCUUCCGGUUGCAUUGAGGGGGCUUCUACCGGAAAACGUCAGAUUAGCCAUUGUGAAGCUAUGUGCAUUUCUCAAAGCAAUCUCUCAGAAGGUGAUCGAUCCAGAAAUCAUACCAAGGCUAAGGAGUGAUGUGGUGCAAUGUCUUGUCAGUUUCGAGCUGGUGCUCCCACCAUCCUUCUUCAAUAUCAUGACGCACGUCCUAGUUCAUCUAGUUGACGAGAUUGUCAUUCUGGGCCCGUAUUUCUACACAAUAUAUACCCCUUUGAGAGGUUCAUGGGAGUCCUAAAGAAAUAUGUUCAUAACCGCGCUAGGCCAGAAGGAAGCAUCUCCAUGGGCCAUCAAACAGAGGAUGUCAUUGGGUUUUGUGUUGACUUCAUUCGUGACCUUAAGAAGAUAGGUCUCCCUAAAUCGCGGUAUGAGGGAAGACUGACUGGAAAAGGCACGCUCGAAGGGGAGACAAUAAUAUGCAGGGACGGAUAUUCUUGGUCUCAAGCACACUGCACAGUUCUACAGAACUCUACCUUGGUGACCCCUUAUGUCGAUGAACACAAGAACAGUCUGCGCUCCAAACACCCGGAGCAGUGCGACGACUGGAUUACAUGUGAACACAUCAGGACUUUUAGCAGUUGGUUGGAAACACGUCUCAGAGAUGAAAACACUGUUUGUGAUGAGAUGUACUUGUUGUCCAGGGGACCAUCUUCGACUGUUACGAUUUGGAAAGGAUACGAGAUAAAUGAGAAUACAUUUUACACGAUUGCCCAAGAUCAAAAGAGCACCAACCAAAACAGCGGUGUCCGCUUUGAUGCAGCCACCGAGAGGGGAAAUAACACAUAUUAUGGUUACAUAGUGGACAUAUGGGAACUUGACUACGGAGUAGAUUUUAAGGUCCCUUUGUUUAAGUGCAAAUGGGUCAAUUUCUCAGGAGGCGGGGUACAGGUAGACCCACAGUACGAAAUGACAACAGUGGAUCUGAACAAUCUUGGGUACACUGACGAACCGUUCGUCCUAGCCAAUGAUGUGGCACAGGUUAUCUAUGUGAAGGACAUGUCUACCAAACCGAGAAAAAGAAAAAAUAAGGAAGCGAAUACAUCAUACGAUGAGCCAAAGCGCCACAUAGUUCUUUCAGGAAAAAGGGACAUCGUGGUAGUGGAGGGCAAGAGAGACAUGUCCGAAGAUUAUGAAAAGUUUCAUGAAAUUCCUCCCUUCAAAGUCAAGGCUGACCCAAGCAUCCUGAUAAAUGAUGAAGAUUAUCCAUGGUUACGACGCAAUAAGGAAAGGACACAUGCGAAGAAAAAGUGAAGACUUUCUCCACAACUAUUAUGAUGAUACCAUGCCAACUUUCAUCCUUUUUGUAGUUCAUUUGAAAUGCAUGUUGUAACAGACAAGUUUCCGUAUGAAUAUACAUGUUUUAACAGACAAGUUUCCGUAUAAAAUGCCUUUGUAACAGCCUUAGAACUGGUACUAAAGGAAUCAACUAAAAAGCUUUUAUAAAUCUCCAGUCGGUUGUCCUCCCUUCCCCUCCCCAAGACCGGCCCUGCAAUAGUAGUAAUAGCCCAUAUGGAGACGUCAUGCUCGAUUGUCUCUGCAACACGAUUCAACUUUUAGAAGUUGUGUUGGAAUGUCGUGUUUCUUAAGUUUGAAGGAUUAUGCCUCUGACUCGCGUUCCCAAUGCAGCCUAUUUCUACAAAAUCUUUAUCACUUAACAUCUCCUCCUGCAUCCAACUAGUUAGAAAUAACUCGUACUUGUGAAAUUUUUGUGGGCAAGCUAGAAUUAAAGAAACUUUUGGUUUUGAUGUGCUUUGUGAAGGUCAUGCCAUGGGCCGUCGUAGGCGUGCAUUGAACUUUUUGUUGUCUACUUUACAUAUCACUUGAAUGACUAUGCUUUUCUAAAUAUAUAGACGAGAUGUGAUGAAUAUUGAGUUGUGCAUCAAUGUAUAAAUGCACACGUGUAUCCCGCUUCCUACAGAUGGUGAGAUUGGUGGUGGCCAACAUAAUGACGCCUCUGGUCCUUGGUCCCAUAUUUGAAUGGAUAAUGCAAGAUUAUAUGUGAUACGUCCAUUUUGCAUCAUGCUUUCAUGUUGAUAUUUAUUGCUUUAUGGGCUGUUAUAUUACUUUGUGGUAUCAUAUUUAUGCCUUUUCUCUCUUAUUUUACAAGGUUUAUUUGAAGAGGGAGAAUUCAGGCAGCUGGAAUUCUGGACUAGAAAAGGAGCAAAUCUUAGUCUACUAUUCUGCACAUCUCCAAAUGCCCUGAAAAGUUGCGUGGAUUUUUUUUGGAUUAUAUAAAAAAUACUGGGUGAAAGAAGUACCGGAGGGGGCUGCCAGGGCGCCAGAAGCCCUGCCACCGCCACCCCUCUGGUGGCGGAGUGGGGGCUUGUGGGCUCCCUGACGGCCCACUAGCCCCCCUCUUUUGCUAUAUGAAGGGUUUUGGUCCAGAAAAAACAAUCGGGAGCUUUUUCGUGGUUUCGCCGCCGCCACGAGGCGGAACUUGAGCAGAUCUAAUCUAGAGCUCCGGCAGGACGAUCCUGUCGGGGAAACUUCCCUCCCGGAGGGGGAAAUCGUCGCCAUCGUCAUCACCAACACUCCUCUCGUCGGAGGGGAGGCAUCUUCAUCAACAUCUUCAUCAGCACCAUCUCCUCUCCAAUCCCUAGUUCAUCUCUUGUAACCAAUCUCCGUCUCAUGACUCCGAUUGGUACUUGUAAGAUUACUAGUAGUGUUGAUUACUCUUUGUAGUUGAUGCUAGUUGGAUUACUUGGUGGAAGAGUUUAUGUUUAGAUCCUUGAUGCUAUUCAUUACACCUCUGAUCAUGAUUAUGAUUAUGCUUUCUGAGUAGUUACUUUUGUUCCUGAGGACAUGGGAUAAGUCAUGCUGAUAAUAGUCAUGUGAAUUUGAUAUUCGUUCGGUAUUUUGAUAUGUUGUAUGUUGUCUUUUCCUCUAGUGGUGUUAUGUGAACGUCGACUACAUAACACUUCAGCAUAUUUGGGCCUAGAGGAAGGCAUUGGGGAGUAGUAAGUAGAUGAUGGGUUGCUGGAGUGACAGAAGCUUAAACCCCAGUCUAUGCGUUGCUUCGUAAGGGGCUGAUUUGGAUCCACUAGUUUAAUGUUAUGGUUAGACGUUGUCUUAAUUCUUCUUUUGUAGUUGCGGAUGCUUGCGAGAGAGGUUAAUCAUAAGUGGGAUGCUUGUCCAAGUAAGGGCAGUACCCAAGCGCCGGUCCACCCACAUAUCAAACUAUCAAAGUAACGAACGCGAAUCAUAUGAACAUGAUGAAACUAGCAUGACAGAAAUUCCCGUGUGUCCUCGGGAGCGUUUUUCCUCCUAUAAGACUUUGUUCAGGCUUGUCCCUUGCUACAAAAGGGAUUGGGCCACUUGCUGCACCGUUGCUACUACUUGUUACUUGUUACUUUUCACUUGUUACGUUUCACUUCGCUACACCAUCACUUGUUACCGCUACUUUUAGUGCUUGCAGUUAUUACCUUGCUGAAAUCUGUUUAUCAGAGCCUUCUGCUCCUUGUUGGGUUCGACACUCUUACUUAUCGAAAGGACUACGAUUGAUCCCCUAUACUUGUGGGUCAUCAAUAUGCUACUUUAGAAAAGAGGGUGUUGAAUGAAUUUUGAAUAAACCGGUUAUAUUGAAAUAUCCAUAUGAAUUCCUCUGAACCAAAGAGACCCUAGCCUAGGAAAUUCUUGGAGAGAUUUGAAAUAUCUUAAUUAUAUCCCCCUCACCGUGUUUAUUAUGUGAGUGCUCCAAUAGGCCUAUAUGUUACACUAUAGCCUUUUUAUUUUUCUAGACAACAGAUGGCCACCAUCAUCCCCUUUGCUCCUUGCAAUGUUGCAAGAUACAUAUAUCCACACAUUAUUUAAAUGAAAGAUAAAAAAAGUUAAAAGAACGAAAAGGAUAAGUACCGAAUAUUCAGAUUUUAAGCAUGGUAUCCCGAACGUUUUUCAUCGCAACUUUAGUUCACGUGAGGUGGCAAACAUGGCAAUUUUCUGACAAAAACGAAGUGGUAUAAAUUUUCCAUGUUUUAACAACUAAAGUUGCCACCUCCCGUCAACUAAAGUUGCCAUUAAAAACCUUCGGGGUGACAUGCUUAAAACCCGAAUGUUAGGGAUUUAUCGGGGUCCUAAAAGAUCAAGAAUACUCCAUGCGGGGAAUCCCAUCACUAGUAUCAUGACAAAGUUACAACGCUUACAAUCAAGGACUAGUUGACUCACCCAUAACAAAACAGUCAAAAUAGAUCAAUCAUCCUUCAAUCAUCCACCCCGAUAGGAGUAUGACACCUGGAAGGUAAGACAUUUCCUCUGGUUCUAUUAUGUCUCCCACAAUCGAGAUUAGAAUUUGUAGUUCCAGAUUUAUUGGCAACCAAGCACCAAAUUUCAAUUCUUGUUGUUUAAUCUUAGCAGCCAAAUAUGUUGAAUGUAAUAUAUCAGACUAUGGAGUGAAGGUCACCAAGGACAACCUCACAAGCUAUCCGGUUCAUGUUCAACUUGAUGCAUGCAUAUUUUGGAAUGCGGUAAUUUCAUGGUGGUACAUUUGUUGGUCGUUUGACCUCUACACGUGAUGAUAAAAGAUUUGUUAGUGAGAAGGGCUCGCUAACGGAGGAAAAAGCCGCUAUGCAACUUUUACCUAUCACGGGUUCAAGUAAAUCUUUUGAAAAUGAUGGCCAGCGGAGUAGCUCAUCUACUUUUUUUAUGAAAACCUUCAUGGUAGCUUUAUUGAUCAGUAAAUACAAAUACAUUGUCUGCUAACAAACCAUGGGUAAAAUCGGGAGGAUCAUCAUGCCACAAUAUUGGAAGAGGGCCCACCGCAUCAUACGCUAGAGUAUACGCCACUCUAUUGCCUCUUCCGACUAUGAAUAGUUCAAUGGUCGAAAAUAUAAGGUGAUAUCAUGGCCAAUAUCUUGCAUUAUUCGUAUAUGGUGAUGGAGUUUCCUUCGUUCUUUGAGGUAUGUAGAACCCUCGCAUAGUUGUGGUUGAUGAUUGCCCUUGUGCAACGGAUCUUGCGUGUACAUAUGAUGCCAUCUCUAAUACCUAUAGCUUUCGAUGUUGGUGUGUCGGCAACAGCUUGACAUCGGGAACAAGUGCCCUACUCAUCGUGGAGGAUAAGCAUCGGAAGCCCCUGAUCACUCAUCGAUAGAGAAUGCAGCGUCAGAUCCCCACAGUGCCCACACUAAUAAAUGAAUGGAUAUAGUAGGAUCACAUUUUUUAUUUGAUAACCCUGCCCAUGUUUCAGAUCCCUGUCUUCCUAUCUAUUAGGCUCCCACAUAUUUACGGAUCAUCGUAUAGAGGUACCACAUAAGAAGCUAGCUACAUUAAGAUGCCCACAAUCUAACAUACACAUAGGAGGUACGCAGUACGCUAAACAAAUAUAUAGGAGAAUAUAUACUUAUGCCUAUGAAAUGAUGCUUGUGGACUAUGUUCUACACACGUUUCUCUGCUCCAUGUUUACUUUAUUCUCUCGUGCAUCUCAAUUCUCUCCUUUUUUUAUCCGGUCCAACUAUUAUCUCUCUAAAAGCGAGCAAGGGAUUUCCCUUCUCAGUCUGGCAUGUGCUCUCUAUAAGCCUAACAAGAUUGUUCCGCAUAAAAAGAUAUAGUUUGGAGAUGAAAAUAAAGGUGACACAACCUGGGGACGAUGCUAGUGCUGGCAUAUCAAGGAAGCUGCUCGGUUGCUCGAUGCAUCAGAUCUAACGGCUCGCGAGCCGAUGGAUAUUUUUAAAAAGUUCGCCGGCUGACGAGUAGCAGGACCCAUAUACUUCUGUUAGAAGAAUACCUAUGCUUCGAGUUGUGCUUCUCGAAAGAAAAAAACAUAUUUGCGUUCCUCCCAAAGAAGAAAGGCAAGAAGCACAAUAUUGCUUCUACAAGAAAUAGAACUUGUGCAUCCAUGAGAGAAGGUAAUAGCACAACCUAUGCUUACAAAAAAUAAUGAAAAUCGCUAUCAUGCUUUCGGGCUCUGGUUUUUUCAGUAUUUUUUUGGUUUUCAUAUUUUUAUAUUGCAUUUUUUCUUUUUUGUUUUCAGUUUUGAUGAGAGAAUUGUUUAAAAAAUAAUGACAUGGGAUUUAGUUUUGAAGAUCUUGACAUGAGAUCUAGUUUUAAGAUGUUCAGAAUUUUUGAAAAAUGGUCACAACUUAAAAAAAAUCUUCAGGUUUUUAGAUUUGUUUUUCAAUAAAUGUUCCGUAAUUUCAAUAAUAUAAAAAAAUUGUAAAGAAUGUUUGCCUAUUCCAAGAUAAUGUACACAAACUUUUUAAAAUAUUUAAUAUUUUUUCACAAAAUGUCUUCAAAAAAUUAAGUACGUUUAAAUUUUUACGAUACAAGAUUUUUUGUGUGUUUAAAAUCAAAUGAAAAAACCCCUGAAAAAAGACAUUCGAAAAUAGAACAUGAAAAAAGAUGGAACUGCUCUUCUUGAACUGAGUCGUUACAGUGUGAGAGCUUUUUUGUUUGUUCUUUGAGCAGUUAGUUUUUUGUUGUUGUUGUUGAGACAAUUGAGCAGUUAGUUAUAGUGCGAGAGCAGAAUGGGCGGGCCCGCUUGGUCGCUCAUGGGCUCAAGAGGCCCCUGUCCUAGUCUGGGAAAAGCCCGGGCCCAGUCGCCACAUCCGCCUUCGUCCGGUCGCCGCUGCAUUUUCCGCCACCGCCGCCGCCUCCUCUCCUCUGCCACCGAAGUCGUAGGAGCUCGCCUCCGGUAGCUCAGCUUCGCGUUCGGCCGCGCCGCAAGUUCACCAUCCUGGUCUUGCUCAAUACCUCUGCAAGGUUCAACAGCAAGAGGGGAUUACUGAUGGCAGCCAUCCUACCAAGAACCGCGCUGCUGCUGCGGACGCCGCGCGGCGCCGGCCGGCUCGCGCGGUUCCUUGGAUCCGGCGUGCCCGCCGCUUCAUCAUCCGGUAAUAAUCGACCACUGGCCCCAGCCGCUUGGUCCAGUUUCUCCCAGAAUGUUUCCACUGUACUUGUGAGAUGUGCUGUGUAUAUGACCCUGUUGGCUUCCUGAAUGGCCUGAAACAGAUUCUGAGACGGUGGCCUCGGCGGCGGCGGAGUUCAUGCCAUGGCGUAACGGAGGGGGCGUCCUGCACCAGGCGGCGUCCGUCGACCCCUCCGCGGUGGUGGAGGCCGGCGCCGUCGUGCACUCCGGGGCUGUGAUUGGCAAGGAGGUCGUCGUCCGGUCUGGGACCGUUGUCGGGCCUUCGGUGUCCGUGGGGCAGUCCACCAGAAUCGGGUAUGGUGUUUUUCGGGCGUGAUCAUAGUGUUGAAACAUUGCAAACUCUGUUUGGUUAUGGAGAUGAUUUUGGUGUCAAUAUGUUCAGGUACAAUGUUGUGUUGAGCAAUUGUUCGAUCGGCGAGUUCUGUACUAUCCAUAAUGGCGCCUGCAUCGGUCAAGAUGGUGAGCACUUAUUCACCUAGUAUUGCAAAUAUGUCAUGCAGUAGACAUGCUAUGCUGUAUGUUCUCUAACACUGCAAAGAACAAGUUACAUUAUUUUUGAUAUACUUGCGCGUGAUCGCAUCAUUCCUGUUGUAUUGCUUGCACAUGAUAUGGUGUACUAGGAACACUAACUGUUGCAGCUUGUGAGCUGACCGCAGCAUUCCUUUUGUAUUAAGCCUCUUGGCUAGUGACAUCCAUCUCAUCAUUUUGGGUAUCAGAGCUUAUUCUGAGCCGUUCAUUAUCAAAUUUUGAAUUUCCUUUCUUUUUCUGCUAUGCUAGCUGAAUGCCAAAUUUUCGUUUAUAAACAGCUGUCAAACAAUAGGACUGAGUUUCUGAUGAUACGUAGUUGUCAAUUACUGAUGAAUUUCUUUCAGGUUUUGGUUUCUUUGUGGACCAGGAUGGACAGGUCAAGAAGAAACCACAGGUUAGUCCUCACCACUGUCACUUGGUGGAGAUUAAAUUCAUGGUGAAGUGAACUGUUGGUGAAGAUAACUACUCAGUAUUACUAAGGUUGAACGGUUAUGACAUAAUUAUUGGGUUGAGUGGUGAAGAAAUUAUCUGUUAAACAUAUGUUAAAACAAAUGUUCAAUGCUGUUACAGUGUGACAUGGAAGAAAUACUGUGUUUUGAUAAGUAGCACCUAGGGACUGACUGACUGUAUUUCAUAAUUUGACAUCUUUUAUGCAUAUCAAAUCAAAAUAGAGGCUCUCAUAGGAAAAAAUGUAUUUGUCAGGAGCUUUAUGCAAGAAUUGGAGACAAUGUGGAAAUUGGUGCAAAUACAUGCAUUGACAGAGGCAGGUAACUCAUCACCUUUCUAUUCCUCUUUAAAUUUGUCAAUGUUAAGUAGUUCAAAGCUCGCAGAGUCAGCAUGGUAAUGUCCAGACAAUGCUUAGCUUGGCUUAAGGCCUCUGUUGGCUAGUCCCUAAUUGAUCUGAAUAUACCUAACAACUAUGUACCCAUCAUUAUAUAUUUGACUGCAGCUGAUUCUAGCUGACAACUUCGAUCAAUAUUUGCUACCUGCAGUUGGAGAGACACAAUGAUUGGAGAUGACACCAAGAUUGAUAAUCUGGUUCAGGUAUUCUCCCCUGCUUUUUUUAUCAGAUUCAGCCUCUUCUCUCUAUCUUUUGUGAACUGGCACCCCUCUUGCAGAUAGGUCACAAUGUGGUGAUAGGAAAGUGCUGCAUGAUUUGCGGACAAGUAGGGAUCGCAGGUUCUGCAACGUACGUAUACCUUCAUCUCGUUGAUGAAGUGUUCAUUCCUUUUAGGUGUGUCAUAUUCGUCAUGCCUGCCUUUUGAGAUUUUGUCCUAUUAUGUACACACAGGUUGGGUGACUACGUAACAUUAGGUGGUAGGGUGGCCGUCCGGGAUCAUGUCUCCAUUGCUUCAAAGGUGCUUUUUUCUCAGCUCUGUUCUUUUGACCUUGCUUUAUUUUGAUUCCACAAUAUUUGUGUUUUCCAUGCAAUUUCUGUGUUGCCGUGUGCUGCAACCUAGCUGCAUUGCUCACCGUACUCUAGUGCCCGAUAGCCCUUCACAAGUAAUUCAAGUUGCAGGGAGAACAUGUCUUCGUUCUCUUCUUGUUGGGCAACUGACCGUGAUAUAGCAAAUCCAUGUACGACUUCAUCUUCAUAUCCAGUGGCGACAGCAUUUCUUUCCUCUUGGUAGUCAUGGCAAGCAUCCAAAUAACACUGGUCCAAGCAUUGGACCAAAACCUAGAUGACAACAUUAUAUUUUGAUUGCCCACAAUUUCUUUCCACCGCCCUCGUUAAUUUAUUUUCCUCGAUCCAAUUGCAGGUUAGACUUGCUGCAAAUAGUUUAGCGACAAAGGACAUUCAGGAGCCCGGUGACUAUGGCGGAUUUCCAGCUGUAAGCAUUUCUGUAUAGCAUUGACCACAUUACUUCAGCGUGUGUUCCUUAUUUUUACCCCUCUGCCUACUAAGUACUCAAUAUACAUGUUGAAUUUAGGUCCCAAUAAAUGAAUGGCGUCGACAAACUGUGAAUUUGCGCUUAUUUUCGAAGAAACACCAUGACCGAAGAUAGUAUCUCUGCAAUCCCAGUGACAUCAAUUCAUCAAAUGUGUUGUAACUUGGAUCUCUUAAAGUGUAGUUUCAAUAUCUCACUAGACAACUAACAUUGAAUUGGUAUCCGAAACGAUAUUCACCAUGUUGGAUUCUUCAUUGUUUAAACUUUUAUGUAUGUACUUACUACUCCCUCCCUUCCUAAAUAUAAGUCUUACUUUAGAGUGGAGAUUCAUUCAUUUUGCUUCGUAUGUAGUUCCCUAGUAAAAUCUCUAAAAAGGCUUAUAUUUAGGAACGGAGGGAGUAUUAAAGAGCGACGUAGUGCUGCACUACACAUUUGCACAUGCAUUGCUGCUAAGAGGAUUUAAGCGCGGUUUGUGAAAUUGUGAGGCUAUCGCCAUGUACACAAAUAGUUUUAGCUGCCGGAUGAGUGGAUUAUACUACACCAUGUAGCUAAGUGUUUUAGUCUUGAGAAGUUAUUUAAUUUUGUAGAAGUUUAUCAGUUAACACUAGAUUGGGUUUUUUAGUGUAAAAAGUGUAAGAACCAAUAAAAGAAAGGUCUAAACCCUUGCAAAGAAAAAAGUAUAUGUGAGAAACCAUUUUGAAACAUAUUCCUUCAGGAAGACAUAAAUCGAGACACACAGUGCAAUUCUUAUACAAACUGAAUUUUGUUCUUGCACGACAUUUUCAAUAUGAUACUCAGAUGGCAUUCUUCCAAUGAAUAAUCAUCUUGUGUAUAUCCACACUGCCAUACCUUGUCCACCUUUGAGUCGAGGUGAAUGAUGUACGUUGUCCAUGUUUGAGUCGAGAUGAAUGGCUGGAAAUUCUCAUCAUGUUCCCAAGUUGAACUCAAUUUACUCUGUUUUGACUUGAAUUCCUAUUCCCGAUGCAUCACAUUUCUACAACACAAAUGAUACACACUCACUAUCAUCCUGUACACGAAGCUAAGCUAAAACCAAGCUUGUGCAACGAAGCCAAGUAUAUUAGCUGUACGCGAGAUGAAUUUUUCGGUUACAAUUUUCAGCAUUCUAGUAUGGAUGUUAUAGGAUUUUGUGGUGCAACGAUGAACUUCAAUAUAUAACAAGGGUGGUAAGUGUUUGGCUGUAGACACAGCUGUGGCUUGCUACAUUUUAUUAAUCAAAACCCCACUUGUCAUAGACUUGGUUGCUAGCCAACUUUUCUGCCACAAGUGUUGCGACCAAAUUGGUGACCACAAAAACUGUGGUAUGCCACACUUGGGGCACAAAAGUGUGGAGGACACAAAAGGAUCCAACAUGUAGACACACAAAUGCAUACAUGUAUGUUAAUUUUUCAAAAAAAGAAAGCAUGACAUAUAUACAUGCACCUUAGCAAUACUCUAAGUCUAAGGUAGACAAUUCACUCGGGCCAAAUGCCCAAACAGAGUGUAGUUAGAUUCGGGAGAGUCGAGGCUCCAAACCUGGACAACCAAACUUGCACAAUAUCGAGUUCGCAAUCAAGGUCAAGUAUUAAAGCUAGCGCUUCAUGGCGCAUUAACCUUUUGUUAGCAAAGGAAAAGGAGCAUAUCAUUACUGUCUGAUCUUCGGACGCGCUAGCAAAACCGUUGGCAUCCUCGGGGUUGAAGGUGAUCUGACAAACAGUUCCAGAGUGUUCAUCGUCAAAAGUUUGUGAGCACUCACAGCCUUUUUCUAAGUUCCAAAGCGUAAUCGGUCUGUCAUAAGGAGAUGACAGCACAUAAGGCUGGUUUGGAUGGAUGGUCAUUGCUGUGGCACUGGAAAAACCAGCUCUGAAACUCAUGAUCUGUUGUACGUACUAUCUCUGUUCCGUAGGUGCACACAUUGAUGAAGGCAUGAAGCCAUCGUGUGCACCAGACAGAAACCAUUGCUUCCGUGCGAUAAGUUUAAGGAAUUUAACUGUCGCUAAUAGCCCUAAAAUUUGAUUAAUGGACCAUGGGAUUAGAGACGAAUCAAUGACCUAUGAGCCGUGUGACAAAUAUUUCCUACCAGACUUUUGGUAAGAAGUGUUUCCCAGGACUAAAGGAUUAUGCUACUAAUCUAAUCAAAGUUAGGGAUAAUGACCAUGAUGGUAUCCAAAGUUCCAAACCGUUGUCUAAUCAAUUUUUACAGCAGUACCCAAACCACUGUCUAAAUAUGUUUUAGAAUUUACUGAUUGUCUGAUUUUUAAUUUUAACGGGACUCAUUGUCUAUGUAACCAAUUAUAUUCGACUCAAUUUCUCUACACGGCUGAUGGCCUCUACAAGUCUACAUGAUUGGUCUGAUUGAGUACCCCAGGUUGGUGGUGCUUGAAAAGGGGAAGGCCCAGGUAUAGUUGUUGCCUCCACCGCCUCUCCUCUCUUCUGCCACCAGAAUUCUAGCUCGCCUACGUGCUCCAUCUCCUUUGUUCUUGCUCCAAUACCUCUGCAUGGUUCUACAUACCGGAGUCAUCCCACGUUGAACCACCCACAUGAUGUCAGAGGCAGUUGCUGCUGUAGUCUCUAUGCGGCGCCAGGGGGCUUGCGUCGUUCCUGGGGCCGGGCAUCGAUUGCUGCUUGGUGCAAGGAGACGGAAGGCCCCAGUAGUGAUUACCCCUCAAUCCCAUGAUUCUGGGAUAUUUUCCCCGCGAUCCCGACUUCAAUUAUACAUAGGAUGUCUACGGUUGAGAGCCUUUCAACAGUGUAGAUGGUUGUGUUUGGCCUUGAACUCGCGUUCUUAUUGUUGGGCUUGAAUUCGUAUCCCUGAUCCAUCCCAUUCAUAGGCCACUAAUAUCCGAUUUCACAAUGAACUAUACUGAUACACUCCACUCACCAUCAUCCUCAUAUACCCACCUAGUUAAUCUCGCUUCAAAAUCCAACCCAUAUGUGGCAACUAGACAAGAGGUGUUGAUCCAUGAGCAUAUAUAAUAUGACAGCACUACCACAAAGAGAAGAUAAUUUUUUUACACUAUCUAGUGUCAGGGACCAAAUCUCAAUCUCCAUUUAAGAAAGGCAUAGGACAACCUUAGGGUGUCGACCUUCUUGUUUCUGACCGGACUGCCUGAAAAAAUGUUCACCAUCCUUCCAAGUUAAACUCGUAUUUUAAUUAGUAGAAGAUUAAACAACUGUUGUACUGUUGAUGCAUUCAAGAAACAAAUUCUGACAUAAAUGAUUAUUUACCAGAAUGAGAAGAUGUGCCAUGCACCACUAAAUAAAAUAAAUACUAAUUCGUCUCUUGUUUUUUUUUCCAUUUUCACCAUGAAACAACAACCAGUUAAAGUGUUCAAUAAAUCAGAUCAUGCUUGUUCUGGUGGAACAGGCUAUUCUAGGAGAUGUCAAUCUACUCAAAAACUUGAGAACUAUGGUCCUUCCGUAGAUGCUAGCAACAAUAGACAGUCGUGGAUAAUUUCCUUUAAUCAAAAUGGCAUGCCACAUUGUUCCACUAGUCCGUCGGCGGGAUGGUUGAACUGAGCUCAAUCAGUACAAACCACUCGAGCAUGCAUCGAGCAAGGAGAUGCCAAACUACCUUGCAUUUCUGUUCAACUUGGCAGAACCAAAAAUUUCAGUUCAUGGCGUGCUAGCAUAGCAUAUGCACACUGAUGAUUAGGAUGUGCCUCGCAUGGUUACAUUAAUUUGAGUGCAAAAUGGUUUAAUAGAUUCACUGUGGGCGCCAGCAAACAGAAAAAGAUCAUUGUCAAGUAUUUGUUGCCUGUGAAGGAUAUCUCUGACUUUAAUUAUUUGUUGGCUAGAAACCAAGCAAAAAAUCUUCUGUUUUCUCUUAGAGCCUGUGGAUAUUGUUUUUAGACUAAUUGUAUACGUUGCCAACAGAAAACGUUUCAGUUUGCUUACCGCUUCCAGCCACGCCUCACGCCUGUCAACUAAAAAACUACUGAUAUUCAAAAAAAAUACUGAUAAGUUGGAAACCGACAAGAACUCAUAAUGGUCAUCAGGACAUCAAGCUCCCGUCAGAACUCAUAAUCGUCAACCGACAAGGUGGUUGGUAUUUUUUGAUAAAGGGAAUUUUUAUCGACUCAAAAUGUAUCAUCAAAUGAAAAACAAACUUAAAGAAGGUGAAGAAGACAACAUAUUAUCAACAGUGUGAUCAUAUAGGACCGACACUAUGUUUAUGUCAAAGAAGGUGAUGGACCAAUCCAAAAAUUAUGCUGCCAUCCAUAUUGGAUAAAGACUUCUAUGAUCAGCCGCUCCAACCGCAUACACACCGCUUUAAACAUCAAUCGGUACUUCGUUCGGUGUAGCGUAGACCAUGUACGAUGUGAGGGCAAACAACACAAAACAACCUCGGAGGUGUUUUUGCCCUCAAAAAACAAGUUAUUUCUUCAUAACCAAAGCGCUUAUAAUAAGACAUAUUCUUCCGCCCGAAUUAGCAUUAUAAACCUGUUUGAAUUCCAUCCAACGAAUGACCAAUAAUAUUGAUAACACUUGUGGAAGGAUACAAAUUAGACGCUAUUCGGAUAAUGAACAAAUAGAACGCGCAAAUUUGUAUCGAAAAAGAGGUUUUUUUUAUUAUAUCGUCAUGAAUACAUAAAGUCUUCUUACUUCCUUGCCAAUUGCGACAAGCGAGAUUAUCUUUAGUUAGCACAAGACUCCUUCGAAGAUACCACAUAAAGAUUUUAACUUCAAACGAAAUCUUUGACAUCCAAUUAUUUUUGUUAUUAUCCAUUGAAACCUCUGAAUGCGUGAACGCAUGGUACAUAGAGUAGACUGUGAAGGACCUAGAUGUUGUAAGAUUCCAACAAAACAUGUUCCGUCCUUGUGUCAGGUUAAUCGGCUCCAAUCGAGAUAACAGAUUUGGACAUGACAUAAGAUGGGGGCUAAUCAAAUCCCCCCGAAAAGAAAUAUUCGGCGAGAAUGAACUGAGCACCUGUACUAGAGUAUCAUUUCUAUCGCGAAUAAUGUGAUACAAAGUUGUAUAUUGUUCUCGAAAGCUGCCAUUGACUAGCCAGUCCCCCCCCCCCUCAUGAAAAGAAUCUCCAACCCAUCAUUUAUCGCGAAGGAUACAAAGCGAAAAGGUGUUUCUUCGUCAUCAUUAGACCAGACCAAAUGUGCGAGUCAUCAUAUUUCAAGUAGGUCCAUGACAUAACGUGGAAAAGGUGUUUCUUCGUCGUCAUUAGACCAUACCAAAUGUGCGAGUCAUCAUAUUUCAAGUAGAUCCAUGACAUAACUUUCUGACCUAGAUACUUAUUCCACGACAGAGUUUAUUUUUUACUAUGUGGUUGGUAUGGGUACAUGUAACUGAGACCGGUUGAUUAUCUCUCUCUCUCGGAAAACGAUCUCUGAAGUUCAACAACCAUAGGAGCACUCAUGUGGCAUCUUUAUAAUAUGGGGGAAAUGCAACCCAAGAGCUUCAAGAUGAUAUGUGCGAACUGUUACAAACCAAGGCGUGGUUUUGCCAACCAUCCUACCGUUGUCCUGUAUGCUACUAGAAUAUCUAGUCAGCCUCGGAUGCAGAGAGGAGUCAUCGGAAGCUCCUAGUAAGGCUUGUCAUACUUUCAGGUCGAACACGUGACAGCCCUUUAGGUUGAAUCUUGAGCUCGCAUUCCCAAUGCAUCCCACUUCUACGAAAGUUGUGCCACCCAUCAUCAUUCUUCUACACCCAACCAUUAAAAUGAACCUUGCUCCCACAUCCAUAUCGAGGUCCAAGCAGCUACGCAAGAGAAGGACAAGCUAGCAUUUGUCUUCAACUCAAGCUUUCAUAUUGCUCUGCUAUAUGAAGGGCAAAGUGCGUAGGUGGAAAAGGUGGUUUUGAGGUUUCCAGUCUAUGGCAUCAGCCACCUAGUGCCGCGGUAUUUAUAGUGGUAUGUAGUGUAAUGAGACGGCAUCUAAUAAACUUUGAGUUAUUUGCUUGAGCCCACUAUGUUGGAAGAAAAAACGAGUUGGUUUUCUCAUAAAAAUUAAUUGCACAACCCUUCUCUUUACAUAAUUGUUCUUUUGGUAUAUGAUAAUUGUGACCCUACUUAAAUAAUCACUGGUAUGUCGUGUCACGCACACAUAUAUUUGGACAUUGUAUUAUGCAAUAAAUAAGGACGCAUCUUAUAUACUCAUUUGAGUAUGUACUCUCACACAUUCAAUAUAUACCUCAAAAGUAUAUGUGUUCUAUCACUCUAUCAUUCUUAUACAAAAUUAAUCUUUUUUUUCAUCACAAUUAAUCAUUCUAUAAGACACUCAGUACAAGUAGUAUGAAAAAAUACGGAGGUGGACCCUAGUUUUUACAGUAUGGACUUUUUAUCGUAGCCGUCGUAGUUUGGCUAGCAGUCGUACGUGUAGAACGCGUCGUGGAGGGCGGGCUAAGCGGAUGGAUCGUGCGCUAGAUCAGGAAGCUGGGCAGUGAUGUGCGUGGAUCGGCCAAGUAUAAAACCCAUCAGCUGAGCUUGUUACGUGAGCGCGGAGUACGUGUUCAUCGCCGAAACCACCCUCAUACGCGCGGUGUUCCUCUGUGCUCCUCUCAUCUUCCUCCUGUGUCCGGCUCUAGGAGCGAGCAAGAGUUAGGGUUCAGUCCCAACAGCCAUCACCCACCGAGGCCUCCGUGUGCUACCAUGGACAUGUGCACGGGGAGGUCUACCGGGACCGGAGGGUGAGGUCGCGUCAUUCCAUGGGGCGGCUCCGGCUCCCAGCGUUGAGCGCAGGCGGGAGGCAGGUGCAACAUCCGGCUGGGGCGAAGGCUCGUCUGGUCUUCGACAUUGGUGCUUGAUUUUCACACGACAUUGUUCAACUAAUCAAUAAUAUAUGGCUGUGUGCAUCAAUCGAUGUCGAGUCCGGACAAAAUAUGUACUAUAUAUAAUAGACUUUCAUGAACCAAGAAAGAAUGUGAUCAGACUGAUCAAGUUCCAAUGCUCAAAGCAAUUCUCUAUACAAAUUUUGCUAGCAAUAAAAUACAACGCCCAAAUAUAUUUAUGCAACGUAGUGCACAUUAUUUAAGGAGCCCAAAUAUAUUUAUGCAACCCUCAUCAAACAAUCUUUAGUAGUCCAGUUGGCGCAGUAGAUAGAAAACCAGACAUAAGUUCUAUGAACAUGGCCUGCAAAACCGUGGUCUGAAUUCAACCUACAAUUCUUAUCGGACUCGAUGGCCAUCUACAACCACAAAGCAGCCACCAAGUGCACCAUUGGGGUCCACACCCUAUUCUGGGCAGAUUGGUGGCUUCGGGAGGGGCGCGUCCAGGAUAUCAUGCCAAGCUUGUUUGGUGUAGUGAAGCAGACCACGGUCAAGCCCAAGACGGUGAGCUGCCAAGCUAUAUCAAGAGAGAGGUGGCAUGACGUAUCGCCGAAUAUGUCGGCUCAGGCAAUACAUGCAUGAGUUCUCAGAUUGGUCGGUCGAGUUUGGAACGUGUAACUAGUGGAUGGAGUUAAAGAAAGGAAAUUUGGAAGUCAAAGGCACCGGCAACAUGCAAGGCAUUCUCUUGGCUCGUGGGAAAGAAACAAUGUUGGACGGCCUACAAAUAGCAACGACGGCUUUUUGCGCUGCAGAUACAAUCACAAGCCACAUAGGUCUUUCGUAGCAGAUCAACAUAAUUACAAAUUAAGUAUCUAUGCAUUGGAGGCUUUAGUUACUUAGUCCUUUAAUAUACUUAGCAUCUUAUCUUAGCACUGAUGCAUUAAAAGUAACCUUAGAUGAACCGGAGCCAAAGCCAUGAAGGCGGAAUUUAUGCAAUGCAGUCAAUGCUCACUUAAAAUAACAGAACAAUUUUUUUAAUAGUCUAGUUGACGCAAUACCCCGCAAAAAAACCCAAAGCAAUUCAUAUAGAGAUAAAAUGUGCCCGGAUCCAUUUCUAACAGAAGUCGUAACCGUCCU
rnacentral:lncRNA from 1 species